AUGAUGGGAGAAGACAGAAAACAGGACCCAAAACGUAGCAGCUAAUAGCACUGGAGUUGGGUCAGAGGGGUAAGAGCAGUAUGAGGCAGAUCAGCCAGCAGAUGCAGGGCUUGGGUCACCCAUCACCAAUGCCAGAAGAUAAUCACACUGUGAAGGGGCAGGAGCUGCUGCCAUCCUGCUCAGCUCAGCCCAUCCCUUGGGAGGUACUGGAGGAAUGUUCUGUGUUCACCAGGGCCACGGCAAUCCAUGGGGGAGUUCUGGAGGCUCCCAGGCAUCACCAGGCUUCCACCAUCCCCACUGCACCAGGGGGAGGCAGAGGAGCCACCCCGUUAAGGUUUCCAGGUUUAGAACAAGCAAUUUCAGACCUGAAGCCAUUAUUUCAGCUUGAGAGGUUUUCUAGAGAGGAGUGUCAGGGCUAUAUUUAAUACAGCCAGCUCAGUCAAAUGCUCCAGGAAGGGUGCAUGUCACAUUAGCCAAUAAAUAGAGACAAAUGCUCAGUUUCACGUCACCAACUGCCUGUUGCUUCUACACUGCACAAGAUUUACAUAACUCACAUCAGGGCUGUGCCAAGGGACUCCUGUUUCCUGCACCAGCUAACACUGGGAGCCCGAGUUUAGUUUUCACUGGGAUUUCUUCCUGUAUUAUAGCAAUCCAAGGCAAAAAGGGAUUCUAAGAGCUACAAAAGGCAGCAACACAGCUCGCUCUCUCUCUUCCUAAUUCCACUACGGCACAAACACAUUUUCAGACACACCACAGCUUGUGAGUUAUGAUUCUUCUCAUCAGUGGCAAUGACAUUUCAUUGACAUGGAGAGGAAAAAUUAAAAGUUCCAAGGGGGAGCUUUCUACUGUGUCUCCGGAAAGAAGAAAUCGAAGCACUGAGGCUUAAUAACUGCAGCCUAGCAGGACACAGGCACAAGACCUAAUCCUUCUCUUGCCAUUAAAACAUGAUUCUUUCAACAUGAACAAGUUAAGCAUCUUGGAAGGAAAGGAAAGCAACCCCAAGAGGUCGUCCUAAAAUAGGAGACAGGGGACAUGAGAGCCCUGGGAAACAGAUAUUCUCAAAACAGGUAGAGGAGAAUUGAAGGAAUCAUCUGCCCCCCAGCAGACCUCUCCCACCAACACCCUGAUACAAGGAAGGGUAUUUUUGUUUUGUUUUCAAUCCAGCAGCUUAAAUAUCUGAACUUGGAAAAAAGAAAUUAAAAAUUCCUUAUGAUGUUGUCUAAUGUAUGGGGUGACAAAGAAGAAUCCACUCCAAAAUAACAUCUAAAGUAGAAAGAAGCCACUUUAAAAUUUUAUCUGUAGAUGUUACAGGAAUUUGAGUUUACAUUUAUUGCCAAAUUCUUUGAAGAAAAAUCCAAAGGAAAAGCUUUUGUUUUGAUUUUAAAAGGUAGGUUUUUGGGGGGUAAAAACUGAAAUCAAAUCACAGCUGAAGCUCAAAAUCCAGCAUGGAAAUUUUGCUUUUAAUCACUCCUGCCCAUUCCUCCACCCACCCCACCUAUCCCCAUCUAAGGGGUGAGAGUUUCCAGUGCUAUGACUCUCCUGAGCCUUCAGAAAAAGCAAAGGCUGAAGGAGUUCUCAGUGCAAUACCAAGUUAGCCUCCCAUGUAGGAUUUCUCACAGGUUGCAGCCCUUGGAUCAUACACAGGCAAUAAGCAGAGGACAUUUAUUAAGUAGAAA